AGUCGCGUGGUCUAAUGGUUAUGAUUUCUCGUUCACAUCGGACUGACGCACUUCCAAGUGCUAGGUCAAGUGCCGAGAAGGCUCCCGGUUCGAUCCCGGGCGCGACUA